ACAGAUCUGAAAGGAGAACCCUUUCCACUGUCUGCUGUGAAGACUGAGCCGGAGAUCUUAGCAGUCUCAUUGUUGCAGCGUGAGGGAAAACUGGCUGUGGACGUUACUGAAAGGAUUUUAACAGACAUUAAUGAAACACAUCUGGUCCAAAGGCUUUGGGAUCACAGGUCAAGAAACAAAAAAAACCCUGAUGAUCAUCUGCCAGCGCUGCUCCACAAAGCAGCAACGAUGGCAGCUGUGAAGGAGCUGCUUUUGGAA